UACGAAGGGGGCUAGCGUUGCUCGGAAUUACUGGGCGUAAAGCGCACGUAGGCGGCUUUCUAAGUCGGGGGUGAAAUCCUGGAGCUCAACUCUGGAACUGCCUUUGAUACUGUCGAUCUGGAGUAUGGAAGAGGUGAGUGGAAUUCCGAGUGUAGAGGUGAAAUUCGUAGAUAUUCGGAGGAACACCAGUGGCGAAGGCGGCUCACUGGUCCAUUACUGACGCUGAGGUGCGAAAGCGUGGGGAGCAAACAGG
rnacentral:rRNA from 1 species